AGCUGGACUGCUUAUCUCAUAAGUGUGCUUUAUGUGGAGUACAGAACCAGAAAGGAAAGAGAAAAAGUUGACUUUAGAAACCAUGUCAUUCAGUGGUUUGAAGUUCUUGAUGGGCUACUGGGAAAACACUGGAGAAAUAUAGGCCUCUUCUUCAACUGCACUUUUCUUCUUUUUGGAUCUGUCAUUCAGCUCAUUGCAUGUGCAAGGAACCUCAGAAACGAAGUCAGCUAGUGUUCCCGAGAAGGCUGCAUCUCUAGACAUGAAAACGUGAUUUGAAGGAAGUCAGUGAAGAGUGAUAGUAGACCCAGGUUGCAAGUCAGCUUUCUAUGAAGAGGGGUAUUAUAUUAAAUUGAAGUUAUGUACACUUCUUUUAAUGGUUAACAACUUCAAUCCACGGUGGGAUGCCAAUGUAUCAAUUGCUUUACCUUUAUUCAUUUGAUUGUGACUUUGUUUGAA